rnacentral:lncRNA from 1 species
UUUUUUACCUCUAAUCAGUCGAUAAAUCCAAUACUUAAUAUUAUUACACAUUUAAAUCGGACGUGAAACUUGCAUACGACGGAGACGGACACUGAACAGUUGUUAUGCUGAUAGUUAUGUAAUAAUAUGCAUUUAGUGGCUGCACUCGUUUGGAUCAGAAACGAUUGUUUCAAGAGUUAUUCGAUUCACGCGAAAAUAACGUCGGACAAUCUCUUUUACGUAAAUAUACUCGGUGUUAUUCUUGUUCCGAAUGAAAAACCAACAACAACAACAACACACAAUAAACGUGAUAAACGAGAAAUUGACCGCGAGCUCGAGUAACAAUUUUCGGGCAUAUUUAAAAGAACAAAAUGACGUUUGGUUCUUUUUGUGCGCGGGUACGCGGUCGGUCGUAUACCUACCUGCGAGUUAAACCGUACGAAGGGUAAGUCGAUGUUUUUGUUUUCGGUUUUACUAAAACCACACUAUAUACCUAUGUACACAACCUAUGUACACAACGGUACGGGCGAUCAUUUGUACCGCGCAGCAAAAAGUUUAUAAUAUUCUAAUAAUAAUAAUAAUUGUCGACUGCAUAUUAUAAAUAUAACAAUAUAGAAUUUUAACAAUUUUCCCCGUUGGACGUUGUACAAAAACGAUUUUUAUUUUUCCGCGUACGACGUGGGUACCUGCCUAUAUACAAUAUAUAUUAUUGAAGUUUAUUUGAUAAAUUUUGUUCGAAAUCAAUUUAAGAUUAAAAUGUAUAACUAAAAGUAUAUAGGUCGCGAAAUAUAUGCGAUAUAGUUACCUGGCGGUAUAGGUAUCGUGAUUAAUUUUAAAUUAAUUUCAUCGCAUUUUAUACGAUAUUUUAUUUUCAGGUCUAUUAAUGUAUUAUUGAAUCGUAAAGUCUUGCGUGCCUGCUACGUGUAAUAUUAAGUUAGAUAUUAAAUUCGCAUACACGAAAAUAAUAGUUGUAAUCCAAAAGAACAAUCAUAUAUUUUUUUAUUAAUUUUUCCGAUUUUUCCCAUUUACUGCGAAAACUUCAGAGAAAAUCAAAAAUGGACCUUUUUAAAGUACCAUCACAGUCAAAUUUCCUUUCAGAAAAAAUGCUAUUAUUGUAAAUCUGAAUAAAAUUGCUGGAAGAAAAGUUGUUCACAGAUAAAAAAAAAAUAAAAAAAUAAUUGUAAAAUUGCAUUAUAGAAUUAUAAGAACAUUCUUCGCUCUGCUCUGCUAAACCAGUCUCUGGCUGAUAUUUUAACAAUAUAUACAUAUAUAAUUAUAACUUGAAAACGGAAACAUUUUUACUGUUCGAUUUAUUAAAACUUAUAAACAAAAACAAAUUGGAUUAUUUUUGAAAAUAUAAAUACCUAUCCAAAUCGAAUUUACUUCCAGUAGAAAAUGCAGGCGUGAAUUGACAAAAAAAAAAUAAAAUAAAAAGCGCACAAUCAUAGGAAAACCAAAAUACUAUAGGAUCAUAAUUUGUAUGAAUAAUGUUUAUUUAAGCGUUUGGCCUCUUUUUUUUCCCCGAUAUCAAAACGAAUUAUUUUCUUUGAGCAAAUAUUCAUUUCUUUCCUUUCUAUUUAAAAUGAUCUCUAUCUCUGCUUAAUCGUAGAUUUGGUUAAUUAAUGUUUUUAUUAUCUAUACAAUGAUAAAAUUUAAUUCAAAUUUAUAAUAUAAAAAAACCUAUUCGCUUUAAGUUUGUGUGUAAACAUGUAGAAAAUGUCUACUGAAAAGCUAAAUUCAACUACAAAAUAAAUUAUAAUUAUCUGUGUCUCGAAUUAUUGAGUAUUUAUAUGAAGCCGAAAAACUUUAUCCUCAUAGAACCAAAAAGUAAGAACUAACUACAAAAAAAACUUGAAAAUUUAAAAUUACUAUAGAGUAUAUAAAAUAUAGAUGUAGCUUAAAAAUGUCCAAAAUAUUUUUAAAAUCGUACCACAUCUAAAAUAUCUCUAAGAUGAUUUAAAAACUGAAUUACAAUAAAAAACAAAAAAAAUCGAACUUUUUCAGACGCCAAUAUUGAUCUGCAUAUGCACCACAGGUCCCGGCAUUUUCGGAUCCUUUUCCGCCAAUAAAAACGGAUUUACAGAUUCGCGCAGAUUCCUAAAGGAAAUCAUUUUUUUAUUUUUCCAGCUGUUUUUAUAACUAAUGAGAAAAACGGAAAAAUAUUAAACAAACAGAUAUUAUAACAAAUAUUAUUAAAGAAAAAAUAUAAUAUAAUGCAUACGUAAUUUUAUUUUACCAUAAUAUUGCAUAUUAUAUACUAUUGACAAAGCACCACUAUUAACGGAACUCUGCUCUGAAUUGUUUUUCGUUAGCAAUGAUUAAUCGUUGCGAUAAGAUAUACAUUCAAUUUUCCCUCUACCUUAUCAACUAAUCACCUGCAGCAGUAGCCAAAACCAUAGUGCGGUGUGCGUCCGUAUUUUUUUGGCAUAAAAAAAAAUAUUUGACAUUUUCAAACGGGAGGUGUAGAGGAAACGGUGCUAGUGAAAUGUACGUUCAUUCCUCGCUUCGUUCAGAAUCUAAAAAAAAAACGCAAUAUAAUAAAACCAAUACGUUCGUCGCCGCGUUUAGAACCUAAAGAUAUUAUUAAAUUCUCGUUACGGUAAAGACUCUUGCAUAAUGUUGAGAAUAUUAUAAUGUGCGAUCGGCGAAACCCUCGAAACAGCUUUUCGCGGUCGCCGAAAACGACUGUAUCGGUAUAACCGGUAUAACCACAGUGGUUAUUAUAAUUUUUUAUUACAAUAUACUUACAAGUACGGACAGUGUCGUCUUCGGACGGAUCCGAACACCCUUUUUUUUUUUUUUUUUGUUAUACGUGACCUUUCCCCGGGGCUACCGAAUACCGGAUCAGUCGAACCGAUACGCCGAUAUUUAAAAAACAAACCGGACCGUAGAAUAUUACAAUAUCGCCGUUGUGUGUCUUUUCGAUACGUUACAUUGUUUCCCACGGAUAAGUGAAAUCGGUCGCAAACUGGUCGCGAUCGACGACACCGCGUAACCGGUCGAACGUUGCCGAUCGAACUCUCACGGGGGACUCCCCGCUCGCGACGCCCGGCAGACACCCCGGCUUUCUCAUGACCUUUCGAUACUCUGUAGCGACACAUAAUACGUGCAACGAUAAUAAUUUCUGUCCCGGCCGCGAAUCCAGUUCCGGAACAACGGGAACGGGUCGACGGCGGAGGCGACGCGCGCAGGCAGGGGCGAUCCUAGGGGUGACACCCCUCCCCUCCCCCUGAAGUCGGCAUAUUAUAGCUACAUUCACACAAGACCUAUAAUACUAAAAAUUUUAAUAUUUUUAUUUACAAGUUUUUCUUUGGGUUUUUUAAAUCGACAAUCGUGUAGUAGCUGAUGAUAAUCGGCGAAUAUCGGAUAAUGGCAUGAAAUACCAGUCGUCAGUGUACACAGCCGUUAAAUUUCGUUCUCGGAAGUCGGCGAAGUUCACUCCAAACCCGCCUAAAAACAAACCCUAGGAUCGCCACUGAACGCAGGUUUCGCUGUGCCGUCUGGCGGGGUAACGUCAGGGGCGUUUCGGACGUAUAGUGUCUCCGCACGAAGACGGCCGAGUUUUUCAAAAUUAAUUAAACGUUUUUAUCGCGGCACGACCGUGACAAACGGCAAAUAACGGCGCGUUUUAUAACAAUAAGACAACAGUUUUAUUAAAUACGUUAUUUUUUUCUACAAAUAUUUACGAAUAACAUACGCAGAGUAAUAUUUUAUGUAUUUUCGAGUUUUGUUUAUUAUUCCCUACCUCCCCUCACCCUCCAAUCCCCGAAGUUUUUUACGAGUCGGAUUUUAUAGUUUAAAACUUUAUAAGCUCUUAGUAAACUUUUAGCGUAGAUUUCUGUGUUAUAUUUUAAAACAAUGGUAAAAAAAACCCCCCAGUAGGAUACCUACAGCCAUAAGUUCGACUGAGAAAAGGUCAGAGUUAUAUAAAUUAUUCAAAAACGCAUAAAACAAUAAAGGUUUAACAUUCAAAAUAUCGUUCUCUCAGGUCGUCUGGCCAUAAUGUGUAUAAAACAAAACCUUUGCGGGUUGGCGUAAAAAGACACCGUAAAAUAAUUAUUACAAUGUAACAAUAUUAAAUGCACAAAGUGUUUUAGAAAUAUAUGAGUGUACUGAUCAAAACGUAAGAUUUAAUUUAAAUUCGAACAACAGGUGUCAAUUGUUGACGUUUGAUAAAAUGUUAGUGUUUACUCCAAUUUGUUCCGCUCAAACGGUAACAACCAGAAUUGAACUUACAUCGAAAUUAAUUUUUUUUCUUUAGGAAGAUAGGAUUGCCGAAUUUUAGAUAAUUUUUAAGUUCAAAAUUGGAACUCUUGGGGAGCACACGCAUACGCAUUUAAACGCGAUAUUUUAAACAAAAAUGCUUGUUUGUAUUACCGAAUAAUCUUAUAUUUUCAUACAAACUUCGACUUGUAAGAUUGUUUUCACCCGAGAGCCAUCUAAAGCUUAAAAAAAAUAUGGUUUUUCAAACAAUUUAAAGAACAGUUAUUACGCAGUUAAAUUACUUCACUUUUAAAAUCACCACGUUAUCAUGAAGGGUAAUGGUCUAAAGGUUAUGUACCUGUUUAAAUAAUGGUAAAAUCGCAUCCUUUUUUUUUUUUUACCGAAAUUAGUCAUAUUUUAUCUAUUAUUAAUAACAGAAAAACAUUUUUUAAUAUACUGUAUAUAUCUCGGGUGAAAUUUUAAAUAUUUUCCUAUUUUAUUACCUAUAAUAAAUAAUAUAAUAUAAUAUAAUAAUAAUAUAAUUCGUAUUUUUUUCGAAAACGAGGCCUCAAAUUUAAGUAAAAUGCGAGAGUCCCAAACCCUAUGCCAAGCCCGCCUCCCCCCCCCCUUAAGGACGGCCCAGAUCUCUGGAAAUUUUUAAAAUGGAAAUAAAUGACUCAAAAAGUGGUUACCACUAUGUAUUUAAAUAAAAUCGAAUCGAUCGAAGUCCAUCCGGCCGAAAUACUUCGUGUCACCAUUUCGGUGAACACAGUGUAUAUUAUUUACUAGUAAUUAAUUACUUUCAUUAUUAAUUAAUUUCAUACCAACGUUACAUAUUAUUCUAUAUUUUUAUUUUUAAGAGGCAAAACAAAAUGCCAGUCUUGAAUGUGUAUUAUUGAAUUUGUAUUGGAAGUGAAGCAGAUGUUAAUAUGAUUAUGUAUUUUUGGAUUGAUUGAUUAAAAUAAUAUAUUUCAUGAUCUAACGAUUCUAAAUAAAAAAAUUUAUUUUGCAUAAUUCGUCGUUUUUUUAAAAAUUUUAGAGCACAUUUGCAAAAUUUAGUACGUUUUUUAAACAUGUUUAAGGAUUUCGUACAGUCUUAAUACAUAUUUAACUCAACAAAUCAAAAACCACAAAACAAUUGUAUGAGAUUUAAAAGUAUAAAGUAUGUACUAAUACGUUUCACUCAAAUAAGUCAAUAUGGGUUUUAUAACUUUUGAACAAUAUGAUAAUAUAUGUAGGUACAUUGCUAUGACAUUUAUACAUUUUUAAAGCAUAUUUUAGUGUUUUUAUUGCAUAAAAUGUGCAUAUAAUAUAUUAUUUAAACGUUUUUGGGCACAUAAAUAUAUAUCCGCCUUGAUUAUAAAAUUGUUUAAUACCUAUACUAAAAUAUUUUGGUGUACGUAUAGGUAACGGCCGUGUCAGAAGCAUCGUCGAC